rnacentral:rRNA from 1 species
GACGAACGCUGGCGGCGUGCUUAACACAUGCAAGUCGAACGGAAAGGCCUGCUUUCCCUUGUGGAUUGCGGGUACUCGAGUGGCGAAUGGGUGAGUAACACGUGAGUGAUCUGCCCCCAACUUGGGUAUAAGCCUGGGAAACUGGGUCUAAUUCCCGAUAGGACUGCAGGGUGGUGCCUGUGGUGGAAAACGAUUUUCUAGUGGUUGGGGAUGAGCUCGCGGCCUAUCAGCUUGUUGGUGGGGUAAUGGCCUACCAAGGCGGCGACGGGUAGCCGGCCUGAGAGGGUGGACGGCCACAUUGGGACUGAGAUACGGCCCAGACUCCUACGGGAGGCAGCAGUGGGGAAUAGUGCACAAUGGGCGGAAGCCUGAUGCAGCGACGCCGCGUGGGGGAUGACGGCCUUCGGGUUGUAAACUCCUUUCGACCGCGAGGAAGCCACCUGGUUGGAAGGGUGGUGACGGUAGUGGUAGAAGAAGCACCGGCUAACUACGUG